rnacentral:rRNA from 1 species
GUUUGAUCAUGGCUCAGAUUGAACGCUGGCGGCAGGCCUAACACAUGCAAGUCGAGCGCGAAAGGCCUUCGGGUUGAGUAGAGCGGCGGACGGGUGAGUAACGCGUAGGAAUCUACCCGGUAGUGGGGGACAACAUGGUGAAAACCAUGCUAAUACCGCAUACGCCCUAUGGGGGAAAGCGGGGGACCUUCGGGCCUCGCGCUAUCAGAUGAGCCUGCGUAGGAUUAGCUUGUUGGUGAGGUAAAGGCUCACCAAGGCGACGAUCCUUAGCUGGUCUGAGAGGAUGAUCAGCCACACUGGAACUGAGACACGGUCCAGACUCCUACGGGAGGCAGCAGUGGGGAAUAUUGCGCAAUGGGCGAAAGCCUGACGCAGCCAUGCCGCGUGUGUGAAGAAGGCCUUCGGGUUGUAAAGCACUUUCAAUUGGGAAGAAAGGUUGCGUGUUAAUAGCACGUAGCUGUGACGUUACCUUUAGAAGAAGCACCGGCUAACUCCGUGCCAGCAGCCGCGGUAAUACGGAGGGUGCGAGCGUUAAUCGGAAUUACUGGGCGUAAAGCGCGCGUAGGCGGUUUGUUAAGUCGGAUGUGAAAUCCCCGGGCUCAACCUGGGAAUGGCAUUCGAUACUGGCCGACUAGAGUACGAGAGAGGGAGGUAGAAUUCCACGUGUAGCGGUGAAAUGCGUAGAUAUGUGGAGGAAUACCGGUGGCGAAGGCGGCCUCCUGGCUCGAUACUGACGCUGAGGUGCGAAAGCGUGGGUAGCAAACAGGAUUAGAUACCCUGGUAGUCCACGCCGUAAACGAUGUCUACUAGCCGUUGGGAGACUUGAUUUCUUAGUGGCGCAGCUAACGCACUAAGUAGACCGCCUGGGGAGUACGGCCGCAAGGUUAAAACUCAAAUGAAUUGACGGGGGCCCGCACAAGCGGUGGAGCAUGUGGUUUAAUUCGAUGCAACGCGAAGAACCUUACCAGGUCUUGACAUCCUCGGAACUUGGCAGAGAUGCCUUGGUGCCUUCGGGAACCGAGAGACAGGUGCUGCAUGGCUGUCGUCAGCUCGUGUUGUGAAAUGUUGGGUUAAGUCCCGCAACGAGCGCAUCCCUCAUGUUUUGUUACCAGCGGGUCAUGCCGGGAACUCGAAACAAACUGCCUCUGUAAGGAGGAGGAAGGUGGGGAUGACGUCAAGUCAUCAUGCCCCUUACGCCCUGGGCUGCACACAUGCUACAAUGGCCGGUACAAAGGGUGGCGAGGACGCGGGUCCAAGCUAAUCUCAAAAAGCCGGUCCCAGUUCGGAUUGGAGUCUGCAACUCGACUCCAUGAAGUCGGAAUCGCUAGUAACCGCAGGUCAGCAAUACUGCGGUGAAUACGUUCCCGGGCCUUGCACACACCGCCCGUCACGCCACGAAAGUUGGUCCUACCCGACACCGGUGCGCUAACCGUAAGGAAGCAGCCGUCUAAGGUUGGGCCGAUGAUUGGGACGAAGUCGUAACAAGGUA